GCGGGCAUAGCUCAGUGGUAGAGCACAUGCUUAACAUGCACGAGGCCCUGGGUUCAAUCCCCAGCACUUCUA
rnacentral:tRNA from 1 species